rnacentral:tRNA from 1 species
GGUCUCUUAGCCCAGUUGGUUAAGGCACCGUGCUAGACGCGGGGAUCAGCGGUUCGACCCGAGGGAGACCA